GUUAGCUAACUUUUACGUCACGUACACUUAAUAAAAAAGCAUUUAUCAAUCAUAUAUUCCACUAAUAAGACGCGCUUUAGAUAUUCCUAACAUAAUAUGUUGUUUCGUCCACUAUAAAUACGAAGAAAGGUCGAUAUAAGGUGACAAGUUGGUGUAAAGCUAGCGAGCGAUGCUAGCUCGAGCGAGCUAACGUUGCCUAGCAAUGCUAGUGCGAGCUAACGGCUAACGCAGCUGCUGGCUUCACAGAGAGUCUGGAACUGUUGCCGUGGUUACUUGAGGCUUUCAGCUAACAAUAUACUGCAUAGUUUAAAGUGACUAUGUGUGUGUUUCGAGGCUGGAUUGAUACGUAUUUGAGAGUAUUUACCUUGUAAAACGCCCCGUUGGAGCCACGGACCUCCACCACCAGUUCCUCCAUAUUGGACACGCAAAGGAUGCCGGGAUGACAGGUGCUCCUUGAAGCAUCAGGAGAGGAGAGAGAGGAGAGUUUGAAGGCUGCAGAGUCUGAUUGCCUCAGUGCUGAAGAAAGAGGCCUAAGAGGAGGAAUCCCCUCUCUUUGUGAAAGGGAGUCCAGGUGGGAGCAGAGGAGGAGAAUGGAGAGGGAUGAUUCAUGAACGCGGAGAAUCUGCAGCUUCAUCAGAGUCGGUCAAGCAGGACAGCUGCUGCUGCUGCUGACCUCCCGAACUAGUGGAGGGACCCACACCUUCAAGGACUAAAGGUCUUCUUAUUCUUUUCCCUCCAGCAGUCACACCGUUCUCCCUCCCUCUUUCUUUUCUUUCUCUACCACUUUUUCACUCUCAGCUUAUUGCAACAGAGCAGGGUCAGGACUUAACCCCCCCAGAGAAAUAAAGUCCUUCAGGUCUGCAGAAAAGGACAGUGACGAGGUGUCUCUGCGAACGUGUGUGAGUGAUGGAGUGGUAAACACAAAGACGACUGUGUCCUCCCUCAUGAGGCGAAAAAACAGCAACACACAGUUGUCUUCAGAAAAGCAUUAUAUAGCUUUUCCUUAAAGAGCCCCAUAUUCAUAAUUUACACUGAUAACCAAUUACAGUACUAUGACAUAUAAGAAACACAUUUGUCAUUCACUCAUGCCUAAAAGGUGCAUAAACUGAAUUUACCCACCACUUCAUUUAUAUGGGAUGCAAAACUAUCGUUGCUCUGUUUUGUGCAUUUUCACUAUUUGAUUCUGAUAGAAAAUUAUAAAAUGUUCCUAUAGAUAUGUAUAAAUAUUGUGUUGAGUAACUAUUCAAGCAAAUAUGCCAAAUGUUUUCUGUGGUGAUUUCAUGCUUUUUCUUUGUCUUGUAUGAUAACAAAUAUAAAGUAGCAUUUUUCCACAAUAUUCUGACAUUUUACCAACAAAAUAAUUUACUGAUAAAGCAAGAAAAAAAUUAUUGCAGCCUUAUUAGUGGAUAUUCUUUUUCUUUCUUUCUACCUAUUAUAAUGUUCUUACCUAAUGUCCCCUGGUACGUUGUUUUUUAUCUUAUUUUUUAUUUCUGUUUUCUCAUUAUUAUAUUUUAUUCAUAAAGGAUUGUCGGAUAUUUACUGGGAUGUCUACAUAGUACCUUAUAAAAUAUAUUUCAAUUUGGUUAUAAGAUCAAAAACACUAUUUCCCUCGAUUCGCUUCGUUUUUGUUGUAGCCAUAAGUUACCAAAACAAAUUUUAUGAGCAGGUGUGAUGUGUUGAGCGGGAGAUAAAACUUUACAGGAAUAAAGGAGCCCGGGAAUAUAUCAAAAAUUACAGAUAUUUUACCAUUAUAUUUCUGAUUCAGGGUCCCAAGUGAGAUAUGUUUCAGGGACUCAGACUUUCUAGCAGCACCCCUGUGAGAACCACAGAGGCUGCAUCUUUAUUAAAACCACUAUAAUGUCUGUUUCAGAUUCACUCACAGAUACAUCGGAACAUAAAUUCAUGUAAAAUGCACUUUCUUACUAAAACAAAGGCAGACGGCUCCAUCAGUACGGAUGUGGAGAAGACUAAUGUGACCUGUUCCCUUUCCUAAAAUCCACUGUGGGUGUCCACAGACACAGUGUACCACUGCCCUCCAGUGGAGAGCUGCAGAACUGCAGAUCUAAUGCAUCUGUAGAGUAAUGAGGAAAUAGUUUCGCAUGUUAUGCCACUUGGAAUUUGAGAAACAUUUAAGUGUUCACUCGUGGGUCAGAUAAGGCUAAUCUUUACAAGAGAAGGUGAGUCAGUGAGCUCUCUCAAGGACGCUGUGGAUGAGAAGCUCAGAUUAUAACUACAAUGUUAACAGAAAUCUCUGCACUUCUUUCAUGUUACCAAAAAUCACUAAAUGGACAUAAAUAUAGUAGGGCUGUCAAAGUUAAUGGGAUAAAAACACAUUAAC